AAAAUGAAUUUCCUAAUUAUAUAUUCCACAAUCUAGCAAAAGAAAAAUUGUAUUUUUUCUUAGAUGGAGUGAAGAAAAAAUAUAUAGAGGUGCAGAAAGUGUAAGGCCCCAUUUCUUUUCUGCCCUAGAGUUGGUGGGCUGCCUUUGUAAGUGGGUCUAAGGGUUGGCCCAAUGUAUAUAAGCCCUGCUAUGUUGCCCUAAUCCCAUCUCACACUCACUCUUUCAGAAACCAGCCGCCAUCUCUUACUACCUCUCACGAAAAGCUCUGUUAGGGUUUACCCUAAGGUCCCCCCUCCUUCAAGCUCAAACUCAGUCCUACUUCCUGCACGACUUCUUGACCCAUCUCCCGAACUGCUAUGCUCCGAAGUCCAGUGCCGAGGUCUGUACGAACCCAUUUCCAGAUGGGCGAGAUUCUCGUGGUCAACAAGGGAAUGACGACUCCGCUACUUAGCCAUCAGGACUGAAUCUCACACUUCUUUCUUUCGUGUUUUCUUUAGGGCUAUGGCCCCUGUAUUCGUGGUUAUUAGAUUGUAAACUUUUAGUUAAACAGCUAUCCUACUUUUGUUGGCAUCGUGGUGUGCCUAGUUUUGUAGAGAUGAUGUUGAGAAUCCCAGGACUGCGUUGUUGUGCUAUCUUAUGUGUGGCGUUUCCUUUAAUUGCGUUUA